rnacentral:lncRNA from 1 species
UCGGUUUGUGACGAAACUGUUUUGAUGCAGAUUUGAGGCUGAAGAUGAUCGAUCCGCUUGAGCACCAGUCAGUGCUGCUUCUACAACUUGAGAUGGUUUGGGAUAAGUACCUCGGAAGACGAAGGCAUUCCGAGCGCGCCAGAUCUGCCACAAAAGAUGAGAAAUAAAGGCCAGCCGAGGUAAUCGAUUUCCUGUCCCAAUCGUAGAAGCGAUCCAUGAAUCCAGACGGUGGAUGUUAAUGGGAAGGAUUGAAAUCCGGAUCUAGGGAUGAUUCCACACCUGUUGAGUCCACGAGCAGAGUAAGAGUAAAUGCUCUAAAGUUUCUGGAGUCUUUCUUUUACACAAUGUGCAGCAAGGACUGUCUAAUAUGUGUCGUCGAUACAGGUUUUCUCUCGUCGCCAAGGCAUUAUUGCAGAUGGACCAUAGAAAUACUCGGAUUUUGGGUGCAGCAGGCAUUUUCCAGAUAGAGCGCCAUAACCAGGUAGGAAUUUGGUGUGAUGUUGAUGCAGUUGAGGUUGAGAUAGUUGAUUGUGUGUGAGUGAGUGCAUAAUAUGCAGAUUUCACCGAAAAUAUGCCUUG